rnacentral:rRNA from 1 species
UGGGGAAUAUUGGGCAAUGGGCGAAAGCCUGACCCAGCAACGCCGCGUGAAGGAAGAAGGUCUUCGGAUUGUAAACUUCUUUUAUGAGGGACGAAGGACGUGACGGUACCUCAUGAAUAAGCCACGGCUAACUACGUGCCAGCAGCCGCGGUAAUACGUAGGUGGCAAGCGUUAUCCGGAUUUACUGGGUGUAAAGGGCGCGUAGGCGGGGAUGCAAGUCAGAUGUGAAAUCUAUGGGCUUAACUCAUAACUGCAUUGAAACUGUAUCUCUUGAGUGCUGGAGAGGUAGACGGAAUUCCUUGUGUAGCGGUGAAAUGCGUAGAUAUAAGGAAGAACACCAGUGGCGAAGGCGGUCUACUGGACAGUAACUGACGCUGAGGCGCGAAAGCGUGGGAGCAAACAGGAUUAGAUACC